AUCUAGCCGACGAAUCCCAGAUAGGAUAAUACGUGCGUCCUGGAU
rnacentral:hammerhead_ribozyme from 1 species